CUCGAUAACCGGCGCAGUGGCUCUGGUCUGAGCUCGAAGGCUCAUCGGGGAGCAGCAAUCAACUCCAAGGCUCCAGCGUGAAGCAGAGCACCGCAAAGGCCGUAACGCCGAGGAGAAGCUCAAAGAACGAAACUUGUGAUUGCCAAACGUGACUGAAGAAGAAGAAUGUGAAGCAAACAAAGUCCGAGGGGAGGGUCUAGAAAGAGAAGGCGAAAGAGAGGAGAGAGAGGAGGAGAUUCUAGAAACGAAGCGUGAACUGCUAAGCAUUGAAGGAGGAGGAGAAGUGGUUAUGUACAUAGUGAGACUAUGGCGGAAAACACAGAAACUGUGGUUUUAGAAGCUGCGAGAUAGAGACAGAAAGACACAACGACAGAGAGAGCUUCCGCGCAUAGGAAAUGGAAGCUUUGCUGGUGCAGUGUUCUAUGUGGAGUUUAUAAUGGAGAGAGAAAGAGUGGGGUUUUAUGUUGGCCGUUGGAUGGGGUUUUGAUUGGCGGAUCGGACGGUGUGGCGGAGGGUUUAAGACUUUGUUCCGAAAUUUUUUUAAGUGCGCUGGUGGAGUAUACAAGAAUUUGCCACAGUUGCAAUUGGCGUGGUUAACACUUGCAUGAAUUGCAUCACUGAGGAAGGGGAUAUAUGCGCGCAAGGGGAUAGCCAGAAAUGAUAGGGACUAGGGAUCAGGGAGCUCA
rnacentral:misc_RNA from 1 species